GACGAACGCUGGCGGCGUGCUUAACACAUGCAAGUCGAACGGAAAGGCCCUGCUUUUGUGGGGUGCUCGAGUAGCGAACAGGUGAGUAACACGUGAGUAACCUGCCCUUGACUUUGGGAUAACUUCAUGACACUGGGGCUAAUACCGGAUAGGAGCUCCUGCUUCAUGGUGGGGGGUGGAAAGUUUCGGCGGUUGGGGAUGGACUCGCGGCUUAUCAGCUUGUUGGUGGGGUAGUGGCUUACCAAGGCUUUGACGGGCAGCCGGCCUGAGAGGGUGACCGGCCACAUUGGGACUGAGAUACGGCCCAGACUCCUACGGGAGGCAGCAGUGGGGAAUAAUGCACAAUGGGCGGAAGCCUGAUGCAGCAACGCCGCGUGCGGGAUAACGGCCUUCGGGUUGUAAACCGCUUUCGCCUGUGACGAAGCGUGAGUGACGGUAAUGGGUAAAGAAGCACCGGCUAACUACGUG
rnacentral:rRNA from 1 species